UCCAACGAUCUCGUAGAACAAGGGAAUGAUUAGCGAAGAGUUGUUAAUUUGGAAAAAGAGGAAGAAACACGUUAUGAUGAAAUUUACACAAACGAAGAGGUUACGUGAAAUAAAAUUUCAAUAUAUCAAUUAAAUAGUUC
ensembl:ncRNA C06A8.16 ncRNA